CCUACGGGGGGCAGCAGUGAGGAAUAUUGGUCAAUGGACGAGAGUCUGAACCAGCCAAGUAGCGUGAAGGAUGACUGCCCUAUGGGUUGUAAACUUCUUUUAUAUGGGAAUAAAACAAGGCAUGGAUACCUUUUUGUAUGUACUUUAUGAAUAAGGAUCGGCUAACUCCGUGCCAGCAGCCGCGGUAAUACGGAGGAUCCGAGCGUUAUCCGGAUUUAUUGGGUUUAAAGGGAGCGUAGGUGGAUUGUUAAGUCAGUUGUGAAAGUUUGCGGCUCAACCGUAAAAUUGCAGUUGAUACUGGCAGUCUUGAGUACAGUUGAGGUAGGCGGAAUUCGUGGUGUAGCGGUGAAAUGCUUAGAUAUCACGAAGAACCCCGAUUGCGAAGGCAGCUCACUAAACUGUGACUGACACUGAUGCUCGAAAGUGUGGGUACCAAACAGGAUUAGAUACCCGAGUAGUC
rnacentral:rRNA from 1 species